AUGGCUCAGAUUGAACGCUGGCGGCAGGCCUAACACAUGCAAGUCGAGCGGUAGAGAGAAGCUUGCUUCUCUUGAGAGCGGCGGACGGGUGAGUAAUGCCUAGGAAUCUGCCUGGUAGUGGGGGAUAACGCUCGGAAACGGACGCUAAUACCGCAUACGUCCUACGGGAGAAAGCAGGGGACCUUCGGGCCUUGCGCUAUCAGAUGAGCCUAGGUCGGAUUAGCUAGUUGGUGAGGUAAUGGCUCACCAAGGCGACGAUCCGUAACUGGUCUGAGAGGAUGAUCAGUCACACUGGAACUGAGACACGGUCCAGACUCCUACGGGAGGCAGCAGUGGGGAAUAUUGGACAAUGGGCGAAAGCCUGAUCCAGCCAUGCCGCGUGUGUGAAGAAGGUCUUCGGAUUGUAAAGCACUUUAAGUUGGGAGGAAGGGUUGUAACCUAAUACGUUGCAAUCUUGACGUUACCGACAGAAUAAGCACCGGCUAANCUG
rnacentral:rRNA from 1 species